AUAUGUCACGCCCCGGGACCGGCGGAGGCCCUCCCGGUGGCGUGCCCAGACCCGCCAUAUGUCUACACAUAUAAGGCGUCUACAAUAAAAGCGGAAGUAAAAGCAAGAAUAGAACAAAUGACGAGGUGAAAUAACUAGCAACUAAUGAUAUCAGAGCAAGUAAAGCUAGACAAUAAAGAAAUCACAAGUAGUACAAUAUCUGUCUCAAAAGUACAAAAACGGUGGUCUCUAAUACACUGGUAGAACUCUCAACCUCUCCAAAAUAAAACACAACGAGAGGUAGACCACCUAGCGAAUCGUCCUCAAAGGAAGCUAGCUCGAAGCAACUCCCUUCCCGCGGUCCCUAGCCUCGCCCUGAGUGGAAGGCUCUGAAAACAUCGAGAAAAAGAGGGCGUGAGAACUAUAAGCUAUAGUCUAUAGUUCCCAGUGGGCAAUUACUGACCUCAGCUCCUGCUCCACUAGGCCCCAAAAACAAAGGUAAGCAACGAUAAUAAUAAUAAGCAAUAAGGAGCAUGUAAAUAAACUGCUGAAAGAAAGCGUGAUGUAAACGAAAAUGUACAUCUAUUCUAUCUUUACAAUUACGUCCAAUGGCACUAGUCUAAUGUCAAUAACCCUUAUCAAUGCAUGAUGCAUAAGCUCUAUCAUGGCAACCAAGUAUGCUCUAAUGCAACAAGAGACUAUCAAAUAUACUACAUGUCUCAACACUAUGCUAAAAAAAUAUAUAAAUGUAAUCCAACUACUAAACCUAUCUAGUAGUGAUUAACCAAUCUCGACCCCGUAUCGAUUUCCAUUUCCAAUCAAGGACCUACCAAAGGUAGUCCAGCUUGUGCCGCCUAAGUGCCUGUGGUAGCCCGACAUUCCUACUCUUGGAAUGUGUCUGUCCCACUCGACCCCGUAGGCUUCUCAAUACCGCACGAGCGAACAUAGGUCGCAUAGGCUAACUCCGGAGUGCCGGCUUGUAGGGAGCGACCCUCACAAGCAUGUGCGAAUGAGCACAAAUGGCAAGCAAGCAAAGUCCAAGUCUAAAGUAUCCAAUCCUCAUGUCUCUAACAUGGUAUAGUCACUAGUAUCCCAAAGAUCUAGUUUAUGUCACAAUGUGAAGGUUCAACCUUUGCUACGCCUAGUGCCCUUUGAUGACACUUAGG
rnacentral:lncRNA from 1 species